rnacentral:rRNA from 1 species
GAGCACGUAGGUGGGUUUGUUAGUCAGAUGUGAAAGCCUUUUGUUCAACGGAAGAAUUGCAUCUGAAACUACAAAUCUUGAGUAUAGGAGGGGAGAAUGGAACUUCUGGUGGAGCGGUGAAAUGCGUAGAUAUCAGAAGGAACGCCGGCGGCGAAAGCGAUUCUCUGGCCUAUUACUGACACUCAGUGUGCGAAAGCUAGGGGAGCAAACGGGAUUAGAUACCCCGGUAGUCCUAGCCGUAAACGAUGGGCACUAAGUAGAGGGAAUUACCGAUAUUCUCUCUGCCGUAGCUAACGCAUUAAGUGCCCCGCCUGGGGAGUACGGCCGCAAGGCUAAAACUCAAAAGAAUUGACGGGGGCUCGCACAAGCGGUGGAGCAUGUGGCUUAAUUCGAUGCAACGCGAAAAACCUUACCGGGGCUUGACAUGGUAGAAGUAGGAACCCGAAAGGGUAACGAACGGUAUCCAGUCCGUAGCUAUUACAGGUGUUGCAUGGCUGUCGUCAGCUCGUGUCGUGAGACGUUGGGUUAAGUCCCCUAACGAGCGAAACCCUUGUUUUUAGUUGCCAGCGGGUUAUGCCGGGCACUCUAGAAAGACUGCCGUCGUCAAGACGGAGGAAGGUGGGGAUGACGUCAAGUCAUCAUGGCCCUUAUGCCCCGGGCUGCACACGUGCUACAAUGGUCGGUACAAACGGAAGCGAAGCCGAGAGGUGAAGCGAAUCC